rnacentral:lncRNA from 1 species
UUUCCUUCCUACCUCCCACAUCUAUCUGUCAUCUUCUAAAUUUUUUCACUUAGUCUGUCACUGAAACACUUCUCUUCAUCUUUGAGUGAAGUCAGUAGAUCAAUAAGUGUAAUGUCAGGGAUGAUGACUAUCACAGGCUGUCAGAAGAAGAGCACAAACACAGCAGAGGGACACUCUGUUCUGAAAAACUGGUUUUACAUCAUUUUUUAUGGUGCAGUACCACCAGUUUAGCAGCUACUGCAGAGAGAAACCAUCUGCCCAGCACCACCCUCAACAUCCUUUACCUCCCAAACUACCCCCGGGGGACAACACCCCGAUUACCCCAUCUUAGAUAGUCGAUGUCCAAGCACAUAACCCGGUGCAUAAGCGGAUUUUAUUAUGCAAAAUAUUCUUUUUAUGAUUUUGCAUAUCUGCAGGUUUGACAGAGGGACUGUUUCAGGUGAAGUUGGUGACAUGAGGGUUGUUAUUAUCCAGCGUCCUCCCAAGUGUAAAGAAGCAUUUGCAUAGUAAAGUAUUUAGUCUUUGGUUUCCUUGUUGAAUAUCUGAGGAGGAUUUACAUACCAAUUCAUGCAGGACUUCCUCUGUGUGUGUGUUUCCUGUUGUAUCGUGUAUACAGUGUGUGGACUCUGCUGCUGAAAUGAACAAACCAGUGAUGCUUCGAAUGCAACUCCAAAGCCACUGAGAAAUGUGGUAACACCACUAAACCUGGAAAACCUUCAGUGAGCAAGGUGACGCCUCACAUCAUACAACAGCUGCUGCUUAGAGCUCCACUUGACCUCCUCAACAAAAAAACAAGAUCCGCUGCAAUUUGCAUACCAUACAAAAGUAUGCAAACUGGAUCUGCUGCACAGAGCUUAGUGCUGUAACCUGGUCCAGGAGAGUGGUGGUGGUGGUGGUGGUGGUGGUGCACUAUAACAGCUCAGGUUUUAGCAAGUAUCUGUCUCCUAUCAUGUCGAAACACCUCAUUACACCUGAUAUGAGCCCAACAAGUUUGAUACAUAAAUCUCGCGUCCUGAAAAGGCUUUAAUGUGAGUUUCACAAAUGUCCAAAAACUCCUCACAAGAGCUUUACGUUAUGUUGCCUCCAGCCACUGCAGGGACCAGACACACGUCUUACAAAAUGUCCAUUUCCCAUGAGACAGUAAGGCACUUGAAGCCAGAUAUAAACAUAAAAAAUAAGAUAAAUAAAUGAAAUGUCUUCUCUCUCAGGCUGCACUCAGUUCAUACAAUUCAAAACCUUCCACGGUAUUCCACAGGGUUCUGUCCUCAGGCCUCUUCUGUUUAUCAUCUACUUUGGCCAUAUUUUCCCUAAAUUUAACACCCUUUUUCACUUCUAUGCGGAUGACACUCAGCUCGUCUUGUCCGCCAAAACUACCUCAUCCUUUCACCAACAAGUUUCCCGUAAAUAUGGCAAUAAUAUCAUUAUUUCAUUUUCACAACCCUGGUAUUUGUGAGGUGAAAAUCUGAUAUUCUGACAGCCCUAAUAUAUAUGUAUGCUUAUUUUGUUUUACGCCUCCUUGGGUGACCUUAUGUCACAGUCAGUCAAGAAGAACAGGCGUAGCUAACAGCAAAGUUUUCUUCAGCAUCAGAGAUGAGUAAGAAUGAACUGUGAAUAGCAGACAGUUUCAGCAGUUUAACUGAAGGGACUGGAUUUAACCUCUUGAUAACUCACAGGUAUGUUUCUCAGUAGAAUAUCCUCAGAAGGGUCACUUCUAAUCCCCUCUUAGAAAAAUAUCACCUGACAAGCAGACACGCUGCCUUUUACAUGUCAUCAACAUAUCUCAGCUAUUUGUUUCAAAGAGCACAUGCAGACUGACUUACUUAACUUCCCCCUCCCACUGCUUCUCCAGACCACAGGUACAGAAUCUGUUCCAAACAAACAAAACAACCUGACUUUUCCUGUAACACCAGUAACACCUGAACAGUAGCACCUUUUUUUGGGUUGUAGAGUUAGACGUUUAACAAAGAAAACUUUAAACAUGUCUAUAAUUUUUCCUUGAUUAUGCUAUUUUUUAAUAAAACAAGAAAACUAAUACUGGGAAAAACCCACAGGAGUCAGCAUCAGGUUACUUUAUUUGUACCCAUAACUCAAACCACGACUUAGAAUACAAAACUCGGGCGACCAUAUGUCCCCUUUUACCGGGACAUGUCCUCUUUUGCGGGCUGUUUGGCCUGUCUGGGGGGAGUUUAUAAAACCCUUCAAAUGUCCGGGAUUUUGUAUGAAAACAAAACAAGCCCCUGGGGGAGGUUUUUCUAAAGCUAUGGAGGGUCCAGAAAAGAUAAAAGUGGAAAUGCGGGAGAAUGCUGGUAAAGGGGGGCCUGUUGAUGGACUGGUUGGUCCAAAUUUUAGAUGAAUGAGAGCCGUUUUGGCCCAGCCAUGAGUGCUGCGAUAGCUCUAAUUCUGAUUUCCUUUCUCACAUGUUGCAUCGUACACAUCCUUUGGAGACAAUGUUGGAAGCUGACGGAGGAGAUGGGACUUAUGGUGGACCUAACACCGGCCCAUGAGCUACAGGAAAUGCCACAAACAAAAACAGCUGGCACAGUGUGUGAUUAAUCAAGGAGGGACUGAGGGACCUGAAAGGUUCCUGGACUUUGAAGGAGACGAAGAUGAGCAAUGGACUUUAAGCAACACAAACAACAUAUCCAGUGAGCUGGGAUAUUGAACUGAACAUGUUUCAUUCGCAGAGUUAAAGGACUACACUAAUCACACAUUGAUCAUGGAGUUCAUCACAUACUAAUCAAGGGGUUUGUCGCAGGUUGCUACAAUGUAAUGUAAUGAUAUUAUCAGAAGUUGACACUUUUUCUAUGCAAAUGAAAUUAUGUCGGCGCAUCCAGGAAAUGGAUGGUCGCCAGGGGGCGGGGCCGUAACAUUCUUUCCCUGAAAUUGAACAUCGAAGUGAGAUAUUAUUCAACCCAAUGAACAUUGAUUAUUACAUUUCUUGAGAAUUGAUAUCACAAUUUUAUAACUUUUGCAUAAUUGGGGGAAUUAUAUCACGAUUCGAUAAGGUUGCAUAAUUCAUAUAACUGGUUAAUGCAUUUUGAUUUUUGUUUCAUGCCAUAUAUUAUUAAGUCUUAGAUGCAGAAAAUCACACACAUAGCUGUGUGUUUUAUUUUAAUCACUUAAGGAUGUUUAGUGUUUGAUAUGAUGAUCAGGGUUUUAUGAAAGAAAGAACUUUCAAAGGGGGGACUGUGUAGGAGAAUCUCUUCAUACAUUUAGGUUAAGAAAUAUAGAGUAAUUAUCUUUUAGUAAGGAGCUACAAAUAAUCUAAGUUGGCCUGCUCAUGCAGCCUCAUGACCCUGAGGUUGUAAGCAAGGCUGUCUUGCAGGAGCCCAAACUAUCUGUCUGUUGGAACAUUUAAUCUCUGCGAGAGUUAAGACUAGUCUAAACAAAGUGUUGAGGGUCAGAACAGUACGACAUGUCAUCAUGGAGAAUUGAUAUGACAUACCCAUGAUGACACACCCUCACACACCUGUGGGCAUAAAAGAGAGUAGAAGAAAAGCUAGGGAGGCUUCCUUCGGUCUUGGUCGAGACUCUGU